rnacentral:sRNA from 1 species
AGCUGGGGAUCCUGACUGUGGAUCGGCCCCGGGAAGGAUCCCGCUGAGGCCGCCGCCUUCCCGUCCACUCAGGCCCCAGCCGAAGCUUUCCAGCUCCCGCCGGCACCGGGACAGCGAGCCCCUCCGCGCGCGGACCCACGCCCCGAGCGACCCUUGACUUCUCCCGGAAUUCACAGCUUCACUCCCUCCCCUCCCCCAAAGGCGGACGCAGGGGAAGCUCUAGUGCCUGAGGAGGCCGCAGAGUGCGAACUGCAGCGGCUCAGGGUUUUUCGUUGGAAUAUACGUUGCACAUUUAUGGCGAUUCUGAGUGUGAGGGCAGACUUCUGCCAGGCUCAGCACAGCAUUUUCGCUGACAAGUGAGCUUGGAGGUUCUAUGUGCCAUAAUUAACAUUGCCUUGAAGACUCCUGGACACCGAGACUGGCCUCAGAAAUAGUUGGCUUUUUUUUUUUUUUAAUUGCAAGCAUAUUUCUUUUAAUGACUCCAGUAAAAUUAAGCAUCAAGUAAACAAGUGGAAAGUGACCUACACUUUUAACUUGUCUCACUAGUGCCUAAAUGUAGUAAAGGCUGCUUAAGUUUUGUAUGUAGUUGGAUUUUUUGGAGUCCGAAGGUAUCCAUCUGCAGAAAUUGAGGCCCAAAUUGAAUUUGGAUUCAAGUGGAUUCUAAAUACUUUGCUUAUCUUGAAGAGAGAAGCUUCAUAAGGAAUAAACAAGUUGAAUAGAGAAAACACUGAUUGAUAAUAGGCAUUUUAGUGGUCUUUUUAAUGUUUUCUGCUGUGAAACAUUUCAAGAUUUAU